GUCCAGCAGCCGCGGUAAUACGGAGGGGGUUAGCGUUGUUCGGAAUUACUGGGCGUAAAGCGCGCGUAGGCGGACUAUUAAGUCAGGGGUGAAAUCCCGGGGCUCAACCCCGGAACUGCCCUUGAUACUGGUAGUCUAGAGUUCGAGAGAGGUGAGUGGAAUUCCGAGUGUAGGGGUGAAAUUCGUAGAUAUUCGGAGGAACACCAGUGGCGAAGGCGGCUCACUGGCUCGAUACUGACGCUGAGGUGCGAAAGCGUGGGGAGCAAACAGGAUUAGAUA
rnacentral:rRNA from 1 species